AAAGUCUGAUGGAGCAACGCCGCGUGAGUGAAGAAGGGUUUCGGCUCGUAAAACUCUGUUGUUGAAGAAGAACAUAUCUGAGAGUAACUGUUCAGGUAUUGACGGUAUUUAACCAGAAAGCCACGGCUAACUACGUGCCAGCAGCCGCGGUAAUACGUAGGUGGCAAGCGUUGUCCGGAUUUAUUGGGCGUAAAGCGAGCGCAGGCGGUUUUUUAAGUCUGAUGUGAAAGCCUUCGGCUCAACCGAAGAAGUGCAUCGGAAACUGGGAAACUUGAGUGCAGAAGAGGACAGUGGAACUCCAUGUGUAGCGGUGAAAUGCGUAGAUAUAUGGAAGAACACCAGUGGCGAAGGCGGCUGUCUGGUCUGUAACUGACGCUGAGGCUCGAAAGUAUGGGUAGCAAACAGGAUUAGAUACCCCUAGGUAGUCAA
rnacentral:rRNA from 1 species